rnacentral:rRNA from 1 species
CCUACGGGCGGCAGCAGUGAGGAAUAUUGGUCAAUGGACGAGAGUCUGAACCAGCCAAGUAGCGUGAAGGAUGACUGCCCUAUGGGUUGUAAACUUCUUUUAUAUGGGAAUAAAAUGUUCCACGUGUGGGAUUUUGUAUGUACCAUAUGAAUAAGGAUCGGCUAACUCCGUGCCAGCAGCCGCGGUAAUACGGAGGAUCCGAGCGUUAUCCGGAUUUAUUGGGUUUAAAGGGAGCGUAGGUGGAUUGUUAAGUCAGUUGUGAAAGUUUGCGGCUCAACCGUAAAAUUGCAAUUGAAACUGGCAGUCUUGAGUACAGUAGAGGUGGGCGGAAUUCGUGGUGUAGCGGUGAAAUGCUUAGAUAUCACGAAGAACUCCGAUUGCGAAGGCAGUUCACUGGACUGCAACUGACACUGAGGCUCGAAAGUGUGGGUAUCAAACAGGAUUAGAUACCCGAGUAGUC